rnacentral:rRNA from 1 species
UGGGGAAUAUUGGACAAUGGGCGAAAGCCUGAUCCAGCCAUGCCGCGUGUGUGAAGAAGGUCUUCGGAUCGUAAAGCACUUUAAGUUGGGAGGAAGGGCAGUAAGUGAAUACCUUGCUGUUUUGACGUUACCGACAGAAUAAGCACCGGCUAACUCUGUGCCAGCAGCCGCGGUAAUACAGAGGGUGCAAGCGUUAAUCGGAAUUACUGUGCGUAAAGCGCGCGUAGGUGGUUCGUUAAGUUGAAUGUGAAAGCCCCGGGCUCAACCUGGGAACUGCAUCCAAAACUGGCGAGCUAGAGUAGGGCAGAGGGUGGUGGAAUUUCCUGUGUAGCGGUGAAAUGCGUAGAUAUAGGAAGGAACACCAGUGGCGAAGGCGACCACCUGGGCUCAUACUGACACUGAGGUGCGAAAGCGUGGGGAGCAAACAGG